rnacentral:rRNA from 1 species
GAAAGUCCGACGAUACAGGGUGAUAGUCCCGUAGUUGACGACGUGUGUUCAGUGAAAUCGAGUAGGGCGGGACACGUGAUAUCCUGUCUGAAUAUGGGGGGACCAUCCUCCAAGGCUAAAUACUACUGACUGACCGAUAGUGAACCAGUACCGUGAGGGAAAGGCGAAAAGAACCCCUGUGAGGGGAGUGAAAUAGAACCUGAAACCGUGUACGUACAAGCAGUAGGAGCAGGCUUUGUCCUGUGACUGCGUACCUUUUGUAUAAUGGGUCAGCGACUUAUAUUCAGUGGCAAGGUUAACCAUCUAGGGGAGCCGUAGGGAAACCGAGUCUUAACUGGGCGUUCAGUCUCUGGAUAUAGACCCGAAACCAGGUGAUCUAGCCAUGGGCAGGUUGAAGGUUGAGUAACAUCAACUGGAGGACCGAACCGACUAAUGUUGAAAAAUUAGCGGAUGACUUGUGGCUAGGGGUGAAAGGCCAAUCAAACCUGGAGAUAGCUGGUUCUCCCCGAAAGCUAUUUAGGUAGCGCCUCGGACGAAUACUACUGGGGGUAGAGCACUGUUAAGGCUAGGGGGUCAUCCCGACUUACCAACCCUUUGCAAACUCCGAAUACCAGUAAGUACUAUCCGGGAGACACACGGCGGGUGCUAACGUCCGUCGUGGAGAGGGAAACAACCCAGACCGCCAGCUAAGGUCCCAAAUUACUACUAAGUGGGAAACGAUGUGGGAAGGCUCAGACAGCCAGGAUGUUGGCUUAGAAGCAGCCAUCAUUUAAAGAAAGCGUAAUAGCUCACUGGUCGAGUCGGCCUGCGCGGAAGAUGUAACGGGGCUAAGUAGUAAACCGAAGCUGCGGCAAUGUGCUUUUGCACAUUGGGUAGGGGAGCGUUCUGUAAGCGGUUGAAGGUGUGUGGUAACGCAUGCUGGACGUAUCAGAAGUGCGAAUGCUGACAUGAGUAACGAUAAAGGGGGUGAAAAACCUCCUCGCCGGAAGACCAAGGGUUCCUGUCCAACGUUAAUCGGGGCAGGGUAAGUCGACCCCUAAGGCGAGGCCGAAAGGCGUAGUCGAUGGGAAACGGGUUAAUAUUCCCGUACUUCUUACAAUUGCGAUGGGGGGACGGAGAAGGCUAGGUGGGCCUGGCGACGGUUGUCCAGGUUCAAGUGCGUAGGCUUAAGAGUUAGGUAAAUCCGGCUCUUUUUAAGGCUGAGACACGACGUCGAGCACCUACGGGUGUGAAGUCAUUGAUGCCAUGCUUCCAGGAAAAGCCUCUAAGCUUCAGAUUGUAAGGAAUCGUACCCCAAACCGACACAGGUGGUCGGGUAGAGAAUACCAAGGCGCUUGAGAGAACUCGGGUGAAGGAACUAGGCAAAAUGGUACCGUAA